GGUUGCCAAGGAGCCAGGCAUUCAACAUUCUGCAGGUCAGUUCUUUGAACUUCUAGGUUUGUCUGUCCACCAUUUUGUUGGCAGGCUAACAAGGCAGCUCUUCUCCAGCAGUCUGGCCAACAUGCUGUAGAUAUCAGGGGAGGUUUUCCACUUGUAAAUAGUGAACAUUUUCUCUUGAAGUCCGUGGAUGAGAUAUCUUCAUAAUCUGAAUGCUAAAGUUGAAAAGGAAAAAGCAAGUCUUCACAGAAUCAAAGAAUGGUUUAAUUUGGAACCAUUGGAGUUUAACUGGUCCAACUUCCCUCCUGAAGCAGAGAAAAAUUUUGAUAGGAUUCUCCAUAGAUGCUAAGGUCAAGCUCCAAAUGCCUGCUCAUCAAGUACUUUCAUCUACAUACAAUACAGUAGUCCAACUUGCAGA